rnacentral:rRNA from 1 species
GCGCUUUCGGGUGUCGCUGAUGGAUGGACCCGCGGUGCAUUAGCUAGUUGGUGAGGUAACGGCUCACCAAGGCCACGAUGCAUAGCCGACCUGAGAGGGUGAUCGGCCACAUUGGGACUGAGACACGGCCCAAACUCCUACGGGAGGCAGCAGUAGGGAAUCUUCGGCAAUGGACGAAAGUCUGACCGAGCAACGCCGCGUGAGUGAAGAAGGUUUUCGGAUCGUAAAACUCUGUUGUUAGAGAAGAACAAGGAUGAGAGUAACUGUUCAUCCCUUGACGGUAUCUAACCAGAAAGCCACGGCUAACUACGUGCCAGCAGCCGCGGUAAUACGUAGGUGGCAAGCGUUGUCCGGAUUUAUUGGGCGUAAAGCGAGCGCAGGCGGUUUCUUAAGUCUGAUGUGAAAGCCCCCGGCUCAACCGGGGAGGGUCAUUGGAAACUGGGAGACUUGAGUGCAGAAGAGGAGAGUGGAAUUCCAUGUGUAGCGGUGAAAUGCGUAGAUAUAUGGAGGAACACCAGUGGCGAAGGCGGCUCUCUGGUCUGUAACUGACGCUGAGGCUCGAAAGCGUGGGGAGCAAACAGGAUUAGAUACCCUGGUAGUCCACGCCGUAAACGAUGAGUGCUAAGUGUUGGAGGGUUUCCGCCCUUCAGUGCUGCAGCUAACGCAUUAAGCACUCCGCCUGGGGAGUACGACCGCAAGGUUGAAACUCAAAGGAAUUGACGGGGGCCCGCACAAGCGGUGGAGCAUGUGGUUUAAUUCGAAGCAACGCGAAGAACCUUACCAGGUCUUGACAUCCUUUGACCACUCUAGAGAUAGAGCUUCCCCUUCGGGGGCAAAGUGACAGGUGGUGCAUGGUUGUCGUCAGCUCGUGUCGUGAGAUGUUGGGUUAAGUCCCGCAACGAGCGCAACCC